AUAAGUUGGCAUUGUUAAAGAUAAUAUGUGCUGUAAUUUUGCAGUGUACUUCCCUGGGUACAUUUGACUUCAUUUUAUGGCACCGUGAGUGGACCAAAGAUGGAACUGUCCGAGAUCAGAUUGUGAAGCAGACACCACAAUGUGGAAAAAUAUACUUUCCGAGGAUUGUGGGUCAUUCUUCUCCUGAGACUGGGAAUCAUUUCAUUCUCUGGAAAUGUGUUCAGAUCUUCUGGUGGUCUUCAAGGUUGGACAGUAACAUUUCCUCCACAGUGGAAGCAAC